NAGUCUCAAUUACUUGAGCUCACCAUAGCCUAAUAGAAGGGGACCGAAAACAUAUAAUUCAAGCAUUAUCAAUCACAAUUGCUCUAGGACUUUACAAGCCUCUGAAUACCUAGAAACAUCCUUUACAAUUUCAGAUGGCGUAUACGGCUCAACAUUUUUUAUAGCCACAAAUUGGAUCAACCUUCCUUCUAGUAUGUCUCAUUCGUCAACUAAACUUUCACUUUACAUCAAACCAUCAUUUUGGAUUUGAAGCAGCCGCAUGA
rnacentral:lncRNA from 1 species